rnacentral:rRNA from 1 species
UAGUCCACGCCGUAAACGAUGUCAACUAGGUGUUGGGGAGGUUAAUCUUCUCAUUGCCGGAGCUAACGCAUUAAGUUGACCGCCUGGGGAGUACGGUCGCAAGAUUAAAACUCAAAGAAAUUGACGGGGGCCCGCACAAGCGGUGGAGUAUGUGGUUUAAUUCGACGCAACGCGCAGAACCUUACCUGGUCUUGACAUCCCGAGAAUCUUCUGGAAACAAGAGAGUGCCUCUUUGAGGAAUUCGGUGACAGGUGCUGCAUGGCUGUCGUCAACUCGUGUCGUGAGAUGUUGGGUUAAGUCCCGCAACGAGCGCAACCCUUGUCUUUAGUUGCCAUCAUUUAGUUGGGCACUCUAACGAGACUGCCGGUGUCAAACCGGAGGAAGGUGGGGAUGACGUCAAGUCCUCAUGGCCUUUAUGAUCAGGGCUACACACGUACUACAAUGGCCGGUACAAAGGGCAGCCACAGGGCGACCUGGAGCUAAUCUCGUAAAGCCGGUCUCAGUCCGGAUUGG